rnacentral:rRNA from 1 species
AUACGGAGGGUGCAAGCGUUACUCGGAAUCACUGGGCGUAAAGCGCGCGCAGGCGGCUUGAUAAGUUGGAUGUGAAAGCCUACGGCUCAACCGUAGAACUGCAUCCAAAACUGUCAGGCUAGAGUGUGGGAGAGGAAGAUGGAAUUAGUUGUGUAGGGGUAAAAUCCGUAGAGAUAACUAGGAAUACCAAAAGCGAAGGCAAUCUUCUGGAACACUACUGACGCUGAGGCGCGAAGGCGUGGGGAGCAAACAGGAUUAGAAACCCUAGUAAUCC